GAGGUGUUUCUUCCUGGAGAGUCUCGUACUUCAUCUAUGGGUUCCGUCUCGAAGAGUAGGAUGAAGUCGUCCUUGUGGCUUCAUUGAUGAAGUUUAUUCAUACCGUCAGUUCCAUCUUUUUAGGAGCCACCUUGAAAAAAGAAACAUAUUAAUAUAAUUAAUUACAUAAAAUUUUAAGAAAAUAAAAUAUAUUUAAUUUUUUUAAAAAAAAUAUCUAAUCAGUCGUUUAAAUGCCUCAACCUAACAUUUAAAUAUAGUUUUGUUACCUAAAAUUACCACCUAAACUAACCACCUAAUCUAAUUAACUAAACUAAUCACCUAAACUAACCACCUAAACUAAACACCUAAACCUAAAUUAAUGUUAAAAACAACAUACCUUUGAGAGAAGGAGAGGAGUGGUUUGAGAUGAAUGAAGGAGGCAUUCCUCAUUCAUGUUUCGAGUUUAUAUAAGAAAACAACAUUCCUCGUAAAGUCGUCGUAAUUUUACGAGAAAUCUACCAGGUCCGCGUUUUUAGUGUUACGAAGAAUCUACCAGGUCCGCGUUUUUAGAAUUACAACGAAUUUACAAGGAAUAUUUACGACGAAUUUACCAGAAAAAUUUUACGACGACUUUACAAGGAAAGCUUUACAAUGAAAUUACAAGGAAAGCAUACAACAAAUUUACAAGAACACAUGUAUUACGAGGAAUCUACCAGGCCCGUGUGUUUUCUAUUACGAUGAAUUUACUAGGACUAUAUCUGAAACCCCGAAAAUCAAAUCCCUAAACCCCAAAAUCACUUAUCUAUUUACACCAUACCCUUUUACCACAUCAUCCCCUUUAUCAUAUUUUUUCUUAAACCCAAAACUCCAAUUGAAUCCUUAAAACGCAAGUUAUAAGUACUAUAAUCAAACAACCACUUGAUAGCAAAUAAUCAAAUUAUUCUGUAAUCUCUAAACCGAGGGUAUGAAAUGAAGUUAACUUGCUUGGCUUGAGAAUGCUUACAACAAAAUCAGUUUGGUAAAACAGCUUAAACACGUUUUCACCAAAAAUAAUGGUAACAUGUUUCGUGAAAAAAAUCCUUGUAAAGUUACAACGAAUUCACAAGGAAAGCAUUACAACGAAUUUACAAGGACACAUGUUUACGACAAAUCUACCAGGCCCGCGUUUUUGGAGUUACAACGAAUUUGCAAGGGAGCAUUACAACGAAUUUACAAGGAAAUGAUUACAACAAAUUUACAAGGACACGUGUAUUACAAGGAAUAUACCAGGCUCGUGUUUUCCAUUACGACGAAUUUACUAUGACUAUAUCUGAAUCCUUGAAAAUCAAAUCCCUAACCCCCAAAGUCUCUUACCUAUAACCUCAUAUCCCUUUUACCCCAUUCCCCCAUUCUCCCAUUUAUCCUAUUUUCUCUUAAACCCUAAACUCCAAUUAAAUCCUUAAAAGCCAACAAAUAAUUAUUAUAACCA
rnacentral:lncRNA from 1 species